rnacentral:rRNA from 1 species
UACGAAGGGUGCAAACGUUGCUCGGAAUUAUUGGGCGUAAAGAGCGUGUAGGCGGCCAGGUAGGUCUGCUGUGAAAACUCGAGGCUCAACCUCGAGACGCCGGUUGAAACCAUCUGGCUAGAGUCCGGAAGAGGAGAGUGGAAUUCCUGGUGUAGCGGUGAAAUGCGCAGAUAUCAGGAAGAACACCCGUGGCUAAGGCGGCUCUCUAGUACGGUACUGACGCUGAGACGCGAAAGCGUGGGGAGCGAACAGG